rnacentral:rRNA from 1 species
AACGUAGGUUCCGAGCGUUAUCCGGAUUUACUGGCGUAAAGCGCGUUCAGGCGGUUUGGCAAGUCGGGCAUGAAAUCUCUCGGCUCAACCGGGAGAGGUUGUCCGAUACUGCUGGACUUGAGGGCAGUAGAGGGUGGUGGAAUUCCGGGUGUAGUGGUGAAAUGCGUAGAUAUCCGGAGGAACACAGUGGCGAAGGCGGCUCCUGGCCUAGACUGACGCUG